AUACGUAGGGGGCGAGCGUUGUCCGGAAUGACUGGGCGUAAAGGGCGUGUAGGCGGCCGAUUAAGUCUGGAGUGAAAGUCCUGCUUUCAAGGUGGGAAUUGCUUUGGAGACUGGUUGGCUUGAGUGCGGAAGAGGUAAGUGGAAUUCCCAGUGUAGCGGUGAAAUGCGUAGAGAUUGGGAGGAACACCAGUGGCGAAAGCGACUUACUGGGCCGUAACUGACGCUGAGGCGCGAAAGCGUGGGGAGCGAACAGGAUUAGAUACCCUGGUAGUCCACGCUGUAAACGAUGAAUGCUAGGUGUAGGGGGUAUCGACCCCUCCUGUGCCGGAGUAAACGCAAUAAGCAUUCCGCCUGGGGAGUACGGCCGCAAGGUUGAAACUCAAAGGAAUUGGCGGGG
rnacentral:rRNA from 1 species